rnacentral:rRNA from 1 species
AGUGAACGCUGGCGGUAGGCCUAACACAUGCAAGUCGAACGACAGCACAGUAAGAGCUUGCUCUUACGGGUGGCGAGUGGCGGACGGGUGAGGAAUACAUCGGAAUCUACUUUUUCGUGGGGGAUAACGUAGGGAAACUUACGCUAAUACCGCAUACGACCUACGGGUGAAAGCAGGGGAUCUUCGGACCUUGCGCGAUUGAAUGAGCCGAUGUCGGAUUAGCUAGUUGGCGGGGUAAAGGCCCACCAAGGCGACGGUCCGUAGCUGGUCUGAGAGGAUGAUCAGCCACACUGGAACUGAGACACGGUCCAGACUCCUACGGGAGGCAGCAGUGGGGAAUAUUGGACAAUGGGCGCAAGCCUGAUCCAGCCAUACCGCGUGGGUGAAGAAGGCCUUCGGGUUGUAAAGCCCUUUUGUUGGGAAAGAAAAGCAGCAGGUUAAUACCCCGCUGUUCUGACGGUACCCAAAGAAUAAGCACCGGCUAACUUCGUG